rnacentral:SRP_RNA from 1 species
GCCGGGCAUAGUGGUGUGUGCCUGUAAUCCCAGCUACUUGGGAGGCUGAGGCAGGAGAAUCGCUUGAACCCGGGAGGCAGAGGUUGCAGUGAGCUGAGAUCACACCACUGCACUCCAGCCUGGGCGACAGAGUGAGACUCCGCCUCCA